rnacentral:rRNA from 1 species
CAGCAGCCGCGGUAAUGCGUAGGGUGCGAGCGUUAAUCGGGAUUACUGGGCGUAAAGCGUGCGCAGGCGGUUCGUUAAGACAGAUGUGAAACCCCCGGGCUUAACCUGGGAACUGCAUUUGUGACUGGCGAGCUAGAGUAUGGCAGAGGGGGGUAGAAUUCCACGUGUAGCAGUGAAAUGCGUAGAGAUGUGGAGGAAUACCGAUGGCGAAGGCAGCCCCCUGGGCCAAUACUGACGCUCAUGCACGAAAGCGUGGGGAGCAAACAGGAUUAGAUACCCCCGUAGUCCCUGUCUCUUAUAA